UGACGCUUCCUUCUCCGUCCACAGACAUUCCACCCUCGAUUUCAACUCGACGCCUCUGCUUCUCUAGGCCAUUCAUGCAUGUGACUUAAUGCUUCUCCUCUUUUAAGUAAUCGGUUGAGUUUUCAAAGAUCCGCUGGAAGGAUUUUCUGAGUGGUCCGAUGAAGAAAGGCAUCUUGAACGGCUACUUGGAACGAAAAGGCUUUGCGGAGUUAGAAUCUCAGAGGAGUGUGUAGCAUAGUGUAUCGUCUUAUAAUCUUUUCUGUGGAGUGUUUCUACAAUGCAGGGCUGACAAGCUUCAGACAAAAAAAGGCAUCCGGGAAACAAAAAAAAGCCAUGUCGGGAUUCAUGGUUUCAAGUGGGUCACUUCUUCACCUCCGGUAUCAACUGUGCUUAUGUUCUUGGAUAUUCUGAAACCAUCAUGGUUUCUCUGGGUUGGAUAUUUGGUGUUGUCGGCUAAAUUUUAGAUACUGCCAUAUCAUUAUAUGCAAAUCAGCACUUCAGGUGGAUCAAUAUAAUUUAUAAAUAAUUUCCUUGCAUCAUAAUUUAAAAAUUAUAUAAUUGGUUAUUCCUCAUUAUUUGCUUGAAUUAUUUGUUAGAAGGUCAUGGUUUGGUAAUUCACACCGGCAUUGUCUCACUAGAUUAGGCUUUGUAAUUGUUUAUUGUUCUCCCCAAAAAUUACAUCUUAGUGUUCUCCCCUCUCGCGAGGAAAUUAUAAAUAAAGCUAGAUACUACAUGAAUGGAGCAGCAACAUGACCCAGAAAAAGGAACACCAACUAAUAAGGUAUCUCUUAUUUCAUGUUACAAAUAAGCUACACACAGCGAAAUAACAUUUCGUGCUUUCUGUCUUUUGUACUGCUCAGCGACUUUAGUUUAAUUUCAGCGCUUUUAAUCUUUAUCAGAUGGUUGGCCCCCACUGCCUAUAUCUUAUUUGUUUCUGCUCUUCCCAUUAUUGUUUUUGGAGGGCAACUGUACUAGAGGAUACAUUUACUUUCAUUUUGUUAUAUGUGACAGAAUAGAUAAUGCUAGGGAUGUUUAAUUCCUCUCUUUUGUCUUUCUAAUUAGUACAUGGGGGAGGGGUAAUGAGCAUGUGCAUGAACAUGCAAAUUUUAUACUGACUUUUCUUUUAUAUAUUUCGUUAUGCUGUGUGCAUUUUUGUCCUCUUUUUUGGGCUCUCCUGAUUCUAUUGUUGUUUCUUCAAGUUCAUUUAUGGACAGGACUGUCUUCGCUCUCUAUGCUUUUGUCAGACAACAACUAAACCUGUCACACUUGCCUAUGGCAUAUCCAAACCUAAGCAUGCGACACAGAUAGCUAGACGGUGGAAAUGUUUUUUUGGUUCUUUCCCCUCCCAUGUAAUUUGCCGUUUUUAUGAUACUUAUAGUGUCCAAUGGUUCAUUCCACUUUUAAAUAUCUCUGUGAAGUCACAUGUAUUACAAUUGCAAAUGGUCUGUGGUGUCAUAUGGUAUGUGUACAUUGGUGCAGGUUUUAUAUUCCUCUUUUGAAUGAAAAUAAUAAUAAUUCAAGAGCCCAAGUAUGAAUGAGUAUGAUGCGUA